AGAAUGAUGACUUCCAGCUUCAUCCAUGUCCCUGCAAAGGACAUGAACUCAUUCCUUUUUAUGGCUGCAGACUGAGCCUUUUCUUAACCCCAGGAGGUAAAAUGUGACGGUCCUAAACCAUUUAGGACCAUUUCAUUUGCUUUGUUGUUGACUGGCUUAGGAACAGGCUUGGGAUGCAAUUCUGCCUCUAAGACUUGUGGAUAUGUCUGCUGGAGAGUGAGCCUUGGAGGAAGAGUUUUUCUAGGAAAGGAAUCAUCUCUCAAAAAGAAGCAUAGAGAUCCGAAGAGCAGUGAGCCUUUCUUUUGGGUUUUUUAAUUUAUUUUCAUUUAGAUGUGGUUGGGAAUGCACCGCCUAGAGCUAUUGCAGACAGUUUGCAAUCAUGAGGGAACCAAGAACUUCAGACCAAAGCUGAUAUGAAGACUUCUAUGGAACUGUUGAAUUAACCAAUGCUGGACCCACCCUACCCCCUGGAUUCUUGCUUGAUGAGGCAGCAAAUAUCUAUUGUUCAACCCAGUCUACAUCAUUCUAGCUGUGGUACCCCGAUAUGGCUCAGCUUCAGUAUAUGCAGGGGUGAGCCAGGAAGAAAAUUCCAGUCCAGGAUUCGGAGAAAAGUCUCUCUGUGCCUACCCUGCCCGUGGUGCUAUGCUGAGGGAGGUGACCAUGAGUGAUUUCGUACGUGCAGAUUGUCACGUUUGACCCUAUGAUCCUGGCUGAUGAAACCAGGAAAUGGCAGUUGUCUUUGAAGACAGCCAUCAGCAAACUGGCUGGCAGCCAGGGAGAUAACACAGUGGGAAUCUCUACACGAUAAGGGUUGCCUAGUGCCCUGCAGUGAACAAUGAACUAUAUCAGAUAUUUUCUUUUAGGGAACUUGAAAAUGACACAGAGAGAAAUGCAAGUGGCAAUAGGAUCCAGAAACCGAGAGACUCAUGGAAAGGAGGCAGCCGGUGGAAGCAGGAGACAGCAGAAGCCAAGCCAAACAGCAAAAGAAGGAAAUUGAAAGGAGCCAGAAGGGGUCAUCUGAGAGAUGUCAAGAGUGGCAGCAGAAACAGACAGGCACCUCCUGUGCCAAUGCCUGCUUUUGAGAGAUCAAGAUCAUGGUAUCUGUAGACUGAGAACAAAGUGUGAGACUCAGAACUAAGUCCAUUCAAGCUCUGCAUUUCUUUGUUAUGUCCCUUUCAUCAGUAAUUUCCAUUAGUUCCUUACAUCUCUUUCAUCAUGAAUUUCCACCAGAGAAUCUAAUUGCAUCAGACUCGCUGAAAAAGUUUAACUAAUAGAUCCAAUAUUUACCAGCCUGUGAUCUUGGGUAAGUCACGUAUCCUGCACGAACAUGAGUUGUUUCAUCUCUAUGUGUGAUAGGCAAAAUAAUAGCCCUAAACAUGUCCACAUCCUAAUUCUCAGAAUUUGAGACUAUGUUACCUUACAUGGCAAAAGGGAUUUUGCAGAUAUGAUUAAGUUACAACAUUGAGAUAGGGUCCUAUGUUAUACAUGUGGGCCCAGUCUAAUCAUAUGGGUUCUUAAAAUCAGGGAGAGAUUUUCCCAGCUGUGGUCAAGGAGAGAUGUGAUGAGGGAAGAAUGGUCAGAGAGAUGCUGCACUACUGGCUUUCAAGAUAGAGGAAGGGGCCGUGAACCAAGGAAUGUGGAUGGCCUCUAGAAGCUGGAAAAAGGCAAGGAAGCAGAUUCUUCCCAACCUAAAGAGGAGGAACACAGCCUGCCAAACACCCCAGCUUUAGCCCUGUUAAACCUGUGUUAAACUUUUAACCUAUAGAACUGUAAUAUAACAGAUUUGUGUUGUUUUAAGCUGUUAAGUUUGCAGUAACUUGUUACAGCAGCAAUAGAAAACUAAUACAUUCUGAUGGCUAACACUACAUAUGCAUGGGAAAAUGUCUAAAAGAAUGUAUUCUCCAAUGUAACAUUGGUUUUGUCAUCUUUUCAAAUUAUUUCUUUUUUCUGGUUUCAAUAACGACUGUGUGUUAUUUGUGUAAUAAAGAAAUGAUGGAAAUGUUAAAGAAUAAGUAAUAUGUACUAAAUAAAGUUAGAUGACCUCUAAGGCUCCACCUAACUGUGGCAUUAUCUGAGCAAUCCAGCUGGUGGCUUAAUUGCCAAUCCAUAUCCUGUUUCUUCUUGGAUGCCAUAGACAGGUCUUAACUCCUCCACAAAGGAACCAGAAAGAGCA
rnacentral:lncRNA from 1 species